rnacentral:rRNA from 1 species
CGAUUGAACGCUGGCGGCAUGCCUUACACAUGCAAGUCGAACGGUAGCGGGCCUUCGGGUGCCGACGAGUGGCGAACGGGUGAGUAAUGUAUCGGAACGUACCAUUGAGUGGGGGAUAACGUAGCGAAAGUUACGCUAAAUACCGCAUAUUCUCUCCGGAGGAAAGCAGGGGACCGCAAGGCCUUGCGCUCUUUGAGCGGCCGAUAUCAGAUUAGCUAGUUGGUGAGGUAAAGGCUCACCAAGGCGACGAUCUGUAGCGGGUCUGAGAGGAUGAUCCGCCACACUGGAACUGAGACACGGUCCAGACUCCUACGGGAGGCAGCAGUGGGGAAUUUUGGACAAUGGGGGCAACCCUGAUCCAGCCAUGCCGCGUGAGUGAAGAAGGCCUUCGGGUUGUAAAGCUCUUUCGGCCGGGAAGAAAUCGUAUGGGUUAAUACCCUGUGCGGAUGACGGUACCGGCAUAAGAAGCACCGGCUAACUACGUG